rnacentral:rRNA from 1 species
GACGAACGCUGGCGGCGUGCUUAACACAUGCAAGUCGAACGGAAAGGCCCUGCUUUUGUGGGGUGCUCGAGUGGCGAACGGGUGAGUAACACGUGAGUAACCUGCCCUUGACUUGGGGAUAACUUCAGGAAACUGGGGCUAAUACCGGAUAGGAGCUCCUGCUGCAUGGUGGGGGUUGGAAAGUUUCGGCGGUUGGGGAUGGACUCGCGGCUUAUCAGCUUGUUGGUGGGGUAGUGGCUUACCAAGGCUUUGACGGGUAGCCGGCCUGAGAGGGUGACCGGCCACAUUGGGACUGAGAUACGGCCCAGACUCCUACGGGAGGCAGCAGUGGGGAAUAUUGCACAAUGGGCGGAAGCCUGAUACAGCAACGCCGCGUGCGGGAUGACGGCCUUCGGGUUGUAAACCGCUUUCGCCUGUGACGAAGCGUGAGUGACGGUAAUGGGUAAAGAAGCACCGGCUAACUACGUG